GCCUGAAGCCCAGUCCUUAUUCAGCUUCUUGAGAUGCUGGACCGAAGGGACACAGUCGGUGUGCUUUCUCUACGCUCUGGGAGGACUUGGGUUACUCCCCCAUCAGAUCACUUCUCACCGGUCACUUUCUCAGUGAGCUGGGGCAGGAACUUGGGUCAUCAGAUGAAGCUGCCUG
rnacentral:lncRNA from 1 species